rnacentral:lncRNA from 1 species
GACUUAGACUUUAACCUGGUAUUAGUUUGUGACUGUGAGGACACAGAGUAAAAUUAGAAUAACAACUUACCUUAGUUUCUAACCUCUCUUAUCUCUGGAUUUUUAAUUUCUAGGAUUGACUUUAUCCACAGAACACUUGGUAAAGAUUUGCUUCAUAUCCCUAAGACGACGAAGAAUUCAGAGAGAAACAGAGGUUCAAGUAAUAGCUAUGCUCAUUCACACCAUGAUUAACAUUGCACAGUAAAAGUAAGCUACUGAAUACACUGAAAGGUUUCUAUAAAAUAAAGAGCAAACAGAACUAUGGAUGUGUUUAAAGCUGAAAUGAAAAAAUAAAAUUAGGGAAAUACUUCAGCCUCUUCAGCUGAAUCAGACUCUUCAGCCUCUGCCUGUUGCUUUACAAGGAGACUAGGAGAGGACAUCUUAGUAAGUUUGCUGUGUGCCCUAUGAAGUGUAAUUCAAUGUAGUAUAAAUCACUGAAGGACAAUAGCCUAUAUUUGUUUUCUUGGAAUAACAACAACAGGAACCAUCUGGAGAACAGUCCAAGCAGACCGCAGCACAAGCCACAGAGAUUUUCUCAGACAAUUGCACUGCACAUACAUUCAUUUACUUCUGAAGUACAUCACUGGAAAUUGGCUGCCUGCCUUUCAAAAUGACGUCCUUUGGACUUCUAAUUGGUCCCUUGCUGGUUGGAAUGGGUGAAGAGAAACAGUUAAAAAUAUAACCAGCCAUACCUUCUGCCACCCAGCAUGGAAAGAGAAAGUGUAGACUAGUGGUCUGAGCUCUCCACGUAUAACACAUGAAUCAGAACUGGCAGACAAGCAGAUGCAUGUGCCAAGCACCAGCCUACCAGAGACAGCUUUGAAAAAUGAACUAAAAUGGCACAGGCAAUCCCACUUCAUUGACACUGAGCUUGUAGCAAUACAGCCUGGGGUUUCAUUGAAUGUCUAAGAAAAGGUACUGGAAAUUCGUUUCACUUUUCUUCACUUCCUGUUGUUGUUGUGUUGUGGGUUUUUUUGUGUGUGUUUGUUUGGUUUUUUUUUGGUAGCAGUUCAAAGGAAGAGGAGACAUUUACUAUUACAUGAACAUAUCACUAAUGAUGACUAGUUUAUCACAUACCACUUCUUCCAAUUUAUUUGAUUCUUGCCUCCUUGUAUCUUGAUCUUAAGCUACCACUAUGUUUACCAUCAUUAGCAACAAAUACAAUGCAAGCCUAGGGCAACAAAGAUUUUUAAAAUAUUCCAUCAAGGUUUUUACCUCAUGAAAUCUUCAGGAUUAUCCAUGAAUUGUGAGGAAUGUGUGCAUGCAGAUGAAGCAUCAUCAGCCCUAAUUUCUUCCAGGGCAAUGAAUAAUCAGACCUGAAGUAGAAGAAUAAAAGACCUGUUAUUUCAUCA